AUUGAACGCUGGCGGCAGGCCUAACACAUGCAAGUCGAGCGAGCGGCGGACGGGUGAGUAAUGUAUGGGGAUCUGCCUGAUGGAGGGGGAUAACUACUGGAAACGGUAGCUAAUACCGCGUACCAUCAGAUGAACCCAUAUGGGAUUAGCUAGUAGGUGAGGUAAAGGCUUACCUAGCCGACGAUCCCUAGCUGGUCUGAGAGGAUGACAAGCCACACUGUGACUGAGACACGGCCCAGACUCCUACGGGAGGCAGCAGUGGGGAAUAUUGCACAAUGGGCGCAAGCCUGAGGCAGCCAUGCAGCGUGUAUGAAGAAGGCCUUCGGGUUGUAAAGUACUUUCAGUCGGGAGGCGUUACCGACAGAAGAAGCACCGGCUAACUCCGUGCCAGCAGCCGCGGUAAUUC
rnacentral:rRNA from 1 species